AAAAGGAAAUGGCUGUGUAAGGGAGACACAGAGAGGGAAAGAGAGAGAGGUGGGUUUCUAAUGACAGGAGGAAGCCCCAAAUAUGGUGAAUAUGAAGUUAAGUUGGUGGCCAGUCAAGAAGGUGGGGACGAUGAGAACACAGAGGGAGGAAGGUAACAAAACCCAGAAGUGGUCCAGGCAGACCAUAGAGAUCAGAGCUUCCUUUUCAUCUUCUGCAUGGCAGGACAAGAGGUCAUGAACUUAUCCUUCUCUCAUUAUCCACGGGGACUGAACAUGGGGAAGAAGCCUUGUGUUUAAAAGCAGCGAGACUCGGGUACUUCCUGCCUGCACCAGGGGCUUCUCAGCUUACUCCCAGAUUUCUAAUACGUCAUCUCAUUGCAGCUGAUGACAUCCCUCCAAGACAGGUAAGAACUACCAUGCCCAUUGGACAGCCAUCAAAAAUAGAGCUCGAAGAGUUUGAGGUCACAUUUGUAGCAUGGCAGGCAGAAUCUAAACUGGCCCGAGAUUCCUGCUCCCUGAUAGGCAUGCAUCGCAUGUCCACCCUUUGAGUGCAGGCGGGACUUGGGAAUAUGAGAUGUCCCUGCUAUUGUAAGGUUACCUUAUAAGGCAAAGGUGGUAGAAUUUUGCAGAUGUAAUUAAGAUCCCUAAUCAGUUGAGUUGGAGUUAAUCAAAAUGGAGAUUUGCCUAAGUAGGCCUGACCGAAUCAGGUGAGUCUUUUAAAAGAGAAUCCAGGCCAGGUGCAGUGGCUCACGCUGGUAAUCCCAGCACUUUGGGAGGCCGAGACGGGCAGAUCACGAGGUCAGGAGAUCGAGACCAUCCUGGCUAACACAGUGAAACCCCGUCUCUACUAAAAAAUACUAAAAACUAGCCGGGCGUGGUGGCGGGCGCCUGUAAUCCCAGCUACUCUGAAGGCUGAGGCAGGAGAAUGGCGGGAACCCAGGAGGCAGAGCUUGCAGUGAGCUGAGAUCGUGCCAGUGCACUCUAGCCUGGGUGACAUAGCAAGACUCCAUCUCAACAACAAAAAAAAAAGACAGAGAAUCCAGGCCUUCCCUGAAAAGGGAAAUUUAAAGUGAGAGAACAGCUCUCCUGCUGGUCUUGAAGAAGCAAGAUUCCAGGAGUUCUGCGUUUACAAGGAAAUGGUUUCUACCAAGAACAACCUGAGCUUGGAAGGAUCUCGGGCCCAGAGGAGACCUCAGCCCCAGCAAUACCUUGAUUGCAACCUUGUGAGAUCCCAAGCGGAAGAUUCCAGCUCAGCUGUGCCCAGACUCAUGACCCACAGAGAAUGUGACAUAAUGAAUGUGUUUUGAGCCUUUAAAUUUGUGGCAAUUUGUUACACAGCAAGAGAAAGCAAGUACACAUGUGACCACCAAUCAAGUACACUUGCCUUAACAUCCACGCCGUGGCCAUUCCAACCCCCUUUGUGAACUCCUUUCUGAUCUUUCCAGUCUACACAUGCAAUAAAGCUCACUUUAAAUUUGCUUCUAUCCUACUAUUUUCUUAUCCUAAAAUAUAUUCUCAUAUAUACAAAAAUCUACUUCUUGACUUGGCCAUGAAUCUCAAUGUUAUCAAAGAGCUUUCUUAUAAUACACACAAAAAGAAACUACGAUAGUUUUUCUUUUCCAAGGGCCUUGAACAGCAGCAUAUCUGACACCAGUAUGAAACUUUCUUGUUAAGCCCAUAAACGUUAGUACCUUGUGAGAAAAGCCGUACCUUUAGAAACACCUGACUAAAUAUUUCAUAAAUGCAAUGCACAGCAAAUUCCUGCAGUAGAUUCACUGGAUUUACAACCAUCAAACUGUAUUAAACUUACAAUAUCAAGAUUUAUCACCUAUAAAAUGGAGUCUCGUUUUAGUAAUAUCUCACAUUCGAUCCCAAAGGAUCUCAAAUACCUUCGACCCUUCACCAGGGCACUUCACCAUAAUUCAUAACGAGGUAAUCAAAUACUUCACUGUAAGGCAGCCACCGCCACAUUAGAGGAUUAACUCACCUAUCAAGGAAGGGUAGGCAGGGCUGAGACAGAAGGCAGCCGCUGCUUUACCGAGUGCAGAAAUGGUACCAAGAUCUAGAUCACAGGGAGCAAUACCGGUUUAAAACUACAACCCAGAAACAUAGAGCCUGAAAUGCCGAGCCAGUCCUCAGAAUGUUUGCAGGAUGUCAUUAUGCAUGUUGAGAUUGUAACUUUGGGUUGAAAUGUGUGAGUAAAUUUUGAAGAUUUAUAGUGAUCACAUAUCUUAAAUAAUUCAUCAAAAGUAUUCAGGUCUUUAUGAUAUAGGCAAAUUACAUGAUCAACAUCUUAGGAGCAUCUCUGGACCCAUCAUUUAAAGUAUAAUUUGGUCUAUUGAAGAGACCACCAAUUUCCAUGGCACCAUGAACCAACAACUACUAUGGUGAGACACCAUAAGGAGAACUCCUACCCAUCCCUCAAAACGCAGCUCAAGUAUCACCCCCAGCUGUGAAUGUUCCCUUCACCUUCCGACCUUCUUCUGUGUACCCUGGUCAGUCCUUAUUAGAAGGGACAUUGGAUUAAAAUUAUAUGGUUAUACACAAUGUUCCCCAUCAUAAUUUGGGUCCUGAAUAUAAUGAGGUUCAUGAUUCAUUUUCAGGGAUAUGUUUAACAUCCUUGCAUGUCUUUACUCAUCUGAAGAAUGGGAAUAACAGUAAUAUCUACUCUUAUACAAAACAGAGAAAAGUAUUUAGAACACUGAGCACUUAAUCAUUGUUAUUUAUCAUUAUUAUUUACACUGGCUGUGCCUGUCACUCAGUCAUAUCAUCCUAUCUUAUUGUCUUUAAGGCAAAUAUUCUCCAAAACUAGCAGGUUUCCUUAAGAUCUGUCUCCCCAUUCCACUCCCCCUGAUCCCCAGGACGUAAGCUUCCAUGCAUGUGACAGACAUGUCCAUUGCACUAAAUCCCAUUGACUCUGCAGUGCCUGAUCAUCGAGGAUGCUGAGU
ensembl:lncRNA